rnacentral:rRNA from 1 species
AUUGAACGCUGGCGGCAGGCUUAACACAUGCAAGUCGAACGAUGAAACUCUAGCUUGCUAGAGAUGAUUAGUGGCGGACGGGUGAGUAACAUUUAGGAAUCUGCCUAGUAGUGGGGGAUAGCUCGGGGAAACUCGAAUUAAUACCGCAUACGACCUACGGGUGAAAGGGGGCGCAAGCUCUUGCUAUUAGAUGAGCCUAAAUCAGAUUAGCUAGUUGGUGGGGUAAAGGCCUACCAAGGCGACGAUCUGUAACUGGUCUGAGAGGAUGAUCAGUCACACCGGAACUGAGACACGGUCCGGACUCCUACGGGAGGCAGCAGUGGGGAAUAUUGGACAAUGGGGGCAACCCUGAUCCAGCCAUGCCGCGUGUGUGAAGAAGGCCUUUUGGUUGUAAAGCACUUUAAGCAGGGAGGAGAGGCUAAUGGUUAAUACCCAUUAGAUUAGACGUUACCUGCAGAAUAAGCACCGGCUAACUCUGUGCCAGCAGCCGCGGUAAUACAGAGGGUGCGAGCGUUAAUCGGAAUUACUGGGCGUAAAGCGAGUGUAGGUGGCUCAUUAAGUCACAUGUGAAACCCCCGGGCUUAACCUGGGAACUGCAUGUGAUACUGGUGGUGCUAGAAUAUGUGAGAGGGAAGUAGAAUUCCAGGU